GACGCUAUCCCCCGGUUUCACAGACAAAGCUGGUCAAGACUAGUCCCAGACUAAUGCAUUACCGAACCGUCAUAUUUGUGUACCGUUACACCCCUACUAUAUACACAUUUUUUAAAUCUUAAAUUGUAGUUUAUAUUAAUUAUUGUAAUUUCAAACAACUAUUACAGCGCUUUUCUGAUUCUUGAUUUCUGUGCAUUUGCAGGAGAUCUUUUGUGGUGGAGCAGGACCUGCAAGGCAAGGUGAUGGCGGCGUUUGUGAAAAAAAGGGAAAACCUGAAACAAAAAUAUAAAUAAGAUAAUUUUGUUACUUCCAAUACAGAAAUCAGAUGACAUUAUGCUGUUAAAAUGACUGCUUUUGUAUUGUGUUUGUGCAUCUUUGCAGGAUCUGAAAUGUCUGCAGACUGGUGUGAGUAGUGAGGAUGGAGAAGUCCACAGCAGCAUCCUGGAAAUGGUCCAGUGCCGCGGAUGAGACGCUCCAUCACUCCACCUCUUACUGUCUCAUCAGGACCAGAUGUUGCUGUGGUCUCUUCAUCCUCAGUGAUGAGUUUGGUCAAGUUUGUUCUGCUGGUUUCUGUUCAUACAAUGAAGGCUGACUUUCAGAAGCUUCAAAAGCAUCAUCAAAAAAUGUCAUGAAGCUUUUAUCCAAAGUGAUUUACAGUGCUCUUAUUACAGGGACCUACAAUCCCCUGGAACGACCUGGAUUGCUCAGGGACAUACUGGUGGUUUUGAACCAGAAACCUUCUGCUCACCAGUUCAGUGGUUUAGCCCACUACAAAAGUAGUCGUGCUCAUGGAAAGCAGCACACAAAUGUUUGGAGCAGACACAGUGGCAGCCAGAUUGUCCCACAUGUGUUCCCCUGCUCUUGCUUCUAGGUUGUGUGGUUCAGAGAGCCGUCAUCAUGGUCUUCCUCAUCCUCUUGCUCAACGAUGUCCCCAUUGAGAAGAGCGAGAUUGUGAAGCACAGCGCAGCAGCAGAACGGUCUCAGCUGUGUUGAGAUGGAGUAGGAUGUGGGGUUCACCAUCUGUAAAUACAUGAUUGUUAGAACAAUAAGUUUGAAUGAAGCUUUGUUUCAUCUGUUGUUGACUUGUAUAUGUAUGUAUUUAUUGUGAUGCUUGCUUUUAUUCAUUCCUUUACUCAUUUAUUCAUGUUUUUGUUGUCAGUAAAUAAAAUAUUAAUAUUUUAUUAAUUCAUGUAUUAAUUGCUUGACUGAAAAUUGAUGUAUUCACAUCGACUGCAUUUGUUCAACUAGUGUAUAUUUAUGUAUAGCUAUGUCACGACAAAAAAAUAUAUAUUUUGUUCAUUUUAAGUAAAAAAAAAAAAAGUAAUUAUUGGUUAGCAUUUAUCAUUAUUAUUGCAUGUAAGUGUUGGGGUGGGCAAACGAUGCAAUUCAUUCUGGGGUAAUCUUAAUGUUUAAGUAGUAAUACUUACAUUUUUAGAGUAUAAAAUCAACAGUCUUCUCCAAAGGCGAGAUCUUCGAGCAGCUGCCCGACAUAUCCUUUGUGCAGAUAUUGCAAACGCUGAGGAAAACAGUACUAGAUUGUUGAGUUAGUGAUGCUAUGAGGUGUUAGUGCACCUGUCCCUCUUUUUUAUUAUUAUUAUUGCCGAACUUAUAAUUACAUAAAAGAUCAGGGAAAGAUGGUUGUAUCUAACAAUGAACAAUCAUAAUGGCAUAUAUUAUAUUAGUGUUAUAUUACACCCCUACUGUGUUAUUCCUAUGCAUGUCUGCAAAUGUUUGUACUUUCUUCUACACUGGAAGCUCCUGUCGUCACGUCAAAUUCCUUGUGUGUGUAAACAUACUUGGUAAUAAAGCUAUUCUGAUUCUGAUAAAACGGUUUAAACAAAUUCAUGUGUUCAUCAUAGUAUGAGAAUAUACACAGAAAAAAAGCG
ensembl:lncRNA